GGCAGGCCUAACACAUGCAAGUCGAGCGGUAGCACAGAGAGCUUGCUCUUCGGGUGACGAGCGGCGGACGGGUGAGUAAUGUCUGGGAAACUGCCUGAUGGAGGGGGAUAACUACUGGAAACGGUAGCUAAUACCGCAUAACGUCGCAAGACCAAAGUGGGGGACCUUCGGGCCUCAUGCCAUCAGAUGUGCCCAGAUGGGAUUAGCUAGUAGGUGGGGUAAUGGCUCACCUAGGCGACGAUCCCUAGCUGGUCUGAGAGGAUGACCAGCCACACUGGAACUGAGACACGGUCCAGACUCCUACGGGAGGCAGCAGUGGGGAAUAUUGCACAAUGGGCGCAAGCCUGAUGCAGCCAUGCCGCGUGUAUGAAGAAGGCCUUCGGGUUGUAAAGUACUUUCAGCGAGGAGGAAGGCAUUAAGGUUAAUAACCUU
rnacentral:rRNA from 1 species